rnacentral:tRNA from 1 species
GCCGGAGUGGCGGAAUUGGCAGACGCGCAGGAUUCAGGAUCCUGUGAGGAUUACACCUCGUGUGGGUUCAAGUCCCACCUCCGGCACCA